rnacentral:lncRNA from 1 species
CCCAAAGUGCUGGGAUUACAGGCGUGAGCCACGGCGCCCGGCCUGACAUUUCUAAUAGUGCAUGUAUUAAGAUGAAGAAGGAGGAGGAUUGGAGAACUGAGUAAAGGAAGAGGAGGACGAAGAAAGAAAAAGAAACCGAGGGACCAUUUUAAAUAAAAGAUAAAUCAAGAGAAAACUGUCUUACCAGAUUGCAUUCCCCAAAGUGAGGGCAGUCCAGAGUGGCACACCAAAGUAUUUCUGAUGCCAGAACUUCACCAUCAGAGACAGCAGUCCUCUUCCCUGGCCUGGACAAGAUCCCCAAGAUGGUUGAGUUUGCUGGGGAAAAAAACAAAAAUCCUUUUAAGACUGUGGGAAGAAAUGCUGCCACUGCCACCUGGGAUGAUACCUGGAGAAAAAAAAGGUUUCUAUGGUUUUGGAUCUAUGAAGGGGGCUUCCAGGAGAUGAUGAUGUUAAAGUAUUUACAAAAAUAUCUUGAAAACAGAGCCACUGAAGCAAGAAAGUAUGAAAGCAAUUUUCUAAAACUGUGAACAGAAGUACAUCUAUAAUUAUAGGCAUGUAAACUUGGAGCCCAUUGGAGAAUGUAAACACAUUCUUUUUAUCAAAAAUGUUACAAUGAUAAUGAAGAACAUUUAAUAAGAAAAGUAAGAAAAAAUAAUCCAUAUAUUGUGAAAUCAAUUAGUUUUAUUUUUCUGUAUUUAUUUUCCAUAUGUACUUUUGGUUGAAGCAUUUGGUGGUCAAUUUUUAUUUGUUUGUUUUGAACCUGCACAGAAGAGUUUUCUAGAUGUUUAUAUGACCUAUCAGUAUCAUCUGACAUAAUUGAUCAUUCUCUCGGCCUUGAUAUUCUUUCUUUGGCAUGCAAGUCACCAGCCUUUUUGUUUUUUCUCCUGUUCACAGCUUAUGGUCAGUAUCCUUAGUUGGUUCCCAAAUUUCUCCCUAACACUUCAAGCUGUAGAAACCCAGAGCUUAGUGUCUGCUAUCUUGUGCAUAUUAUCUUCACUUUUCUAUUGAGCUAAUUGACUAUUCUAUAAUAAAAUACCAUUAGUAUCUUGAAAACCUCUUCAGUAUAUAUCUCAGCUCCUCUUAAAUGUCAAAGUCAUAUACUAAAUUGCAUACUUGAUUUUGCACUUAGGUAUCUAACACAUAUUUCAAACAUAACUCAUUUAAAAUUUAACUCUUAAAUUUCCUCUUCAAAUCCUGCUCUACCCUCAACCUUCUCAGUUUAUCCAAUGGGAACUCAAUCUUUUAUUUGCUUCCAUCAAAAAGCUUGAGCUUAUUCUUGUUAUCUCUCUUUCUCUUCCAUACCAUGUCAAAUGUAUAAAAAACACACGGUGGCUCAUCUUUCAAAAGAAAUUGUUAUUUUGAUGUUUUAUCACUAACUUUUUAGCUAGUUUUCCAGCUUCCACCUUGACCACCUCCCACCACACACACACACACACGCACACACACACACACCAUUCUACUUUUUCUAUGGGGAUUUUCCUAUAUAAAUAUACUAUGGAAUUUUGUUCAUUAUUUAUUGUCUGUCUCUCUCUAUAUGUAAGUUCUAGUAUGACUGUUGUUUUGUUUUGUUUUAUUUGAUAAUGUAUGUGUAGGCCCUAGAACAUUGCCUGGCAUUUAGGUGUUCAAAAAUAAUUAUUUAACAAAUGAAUAUGGCAUGUGAUGGUUUUAUGAGGUAAGGCCCAGAAUCAAAGUAUAGAUCGCUUUUUGAUAUUUUUCUUUCCAAAUAUCACAAGCUAUCCAUUAAUAUACAAGACAUUUUGUUUUUGCCUCAGGAAAAAGAAAAAAGUAUUUUGUGAAAGGUAGUGAUAAAUAAGGAUGGUAUGGCUUUUGUACUAAUUUAUGCUGAGAUAAAGGGAUUUGACAUUUACUACUUCCAUAAAAAGAAUUUCUCCCUUUUUUAUUUUUAAUUUCGGUGGGUACAUAGUAGGUGUAUAUAUUUAUAGGGUAUAUGAGAUGUUUUGAUGCAGCAUAAGAUGCAUAAUAAUCACAUCACGGUAAAGGGGUAUCCAUCACCUCAAGCAUUUCUCCUUUGUGUUCCAAAGAUAUAAUUAUAAAUUUAGUUAUAUUAAAAUUUUCAAUAAAUUAUAUUUGACUGACUGUAGUCAUCUUGUUGUAUUAUUAACUACUAGACUUUAUUCAUUUCAUCUGUUUUGUACCCAUUAACCAUCCCCACUGCCCCCAGCUCAACUACCCUUCCCUGCCUCUGAUAAUUAUCAUUCUACUCUCUAUCUCCUUGAGUUCAACUGUUUCAAUGUUUGCCCCUACAAAUAAGUGAGAGCAUGCAGUUUGUCUUUCUGUGCCUGGCUUAUUGUGCUUAACAUAAUGACCUACAGUUUCAUCCAUGUUGUUGCAAAUGAUAAGAUCUCAGUCUUUUUAUGGUUGAAUAGUACCCCAUUGUGUAUAUGUACCACAUUUUCUUUAUCCAUUCAUCUGCUGAAGAACACUUAAGUUGCUUCCAAAGCUUGGCUGUUGUGAAUAGUUCUGCAAUAAACAUGAGAGUGCAGGUAUCUCUUUCAUAUGCUGAUUUCCUUUAUUUGGGGUAUAUACCUAGCAGUGGAAUUGCUGGAUCAUAUGGUAGUUCUAUUUUUUGUUUGUUUUUUGAGGAACCUCCAAACUGUUCUCUAUAAUGGUCAUGUUAAUUUCCAUUUCAGCGAACACUGUACAAGGUUUCCCUUUUCUCCAUAUCCUUACCAGCAUUCAUUAUUGCCUGUCUUUUGGAUAAAAGCCACUUGAACUAGAAUAUGAUAAUAUCUCAUUGUAGUUUUAAUUUGCAUUUCUCUGAUGAUGAAUGAUGGUGAGCACCUUUUUAUAUGUGUUUGCCAUUUGUAUGUCUUAUUUUGAGAAAUGUCCAUUCAGAUCUUUUGCCCACUUUUUAUUCAGAUUAUUAGAUUUUUUUUCUAUAGAGUUGUUUGAGCUCUUUAUAUAUUCUGAUUGUUAAUCACAUGUCAGAUGACUAGUUUGCAAAUAUUUUUUCCCAUUCUGUGGGUUGUCUCUUCACUUUAUUGAUUGCUUCCUUUGCUGUGAAGAAGCUUUUUAACUUGAUGUGAUUCCAUUUGUCUAAAGUAGCUUUGGUUACUUGUGAUUGUGGGGCAUUACUCAAUAAAUCUUGUCUCAGACUAAUGUCCUGGAGAGUUUCUCCAAUGUUUUCUUUUAGUCCUUUGACUAAAAGAUUAAAGUUGAGGUCUUAGAUUUAAGUCUUUAAUCCAUUUUGAUUGGUUUUGCAUACUGUGAGAGAUAGGGGAACAAUUUCUUUAUUCAUGUGGAUAUCUGGUUGUCCCUGCAUCAUUUAUUGAAGAGACUUUUCUUUAUCCAGGGUAUGUUUUUAGCACCUUUGUUAAAAAUGAGUUCACUGUGGAUAUAUAAAUUUAUUUCUGUGUUCUUAGUUGUGUUCCAUUGCUCUGUGUGUCUGUUUUUAAUGCCAGUGUCAUCCUGUUUUGAUUACUAUAGUUCUCUAGCAUAAUUUGAAGUCAGGUAGCAUGAUUCCUCAGUUUUGUUAUUUGCUAAGGAUAGCUUUUGCUACUCUGGGCCUCAUUUGGUUCCAUAUAAAUUUUUGGAUUAUUUUUUCUAUUUCUGUGAAGAAUGUCAUGGUAUUUUGACAGGGAUUAUAGUCAGUCUGUUGAUUGCUUUGCAUAGUAAGGACAUUUUAACCAUAUUGAUUCUUCCAAUCUACUAACAUAGAAUAUCUUUCCAUAUUUUUGUGUCCUCUUCAAUUUUUUGCUUUAAUAUU